ACAUUCCUAGCUCAAACGGAUAGAGCAUUAGCCUUCUAAGCUACUAGUUAAAGGUUCAAGUCCUUUGGAAUGUG
rnacentral:tRNA from 1 species